UACAGAGGUCUCAAGCGUUGUUCGGAUUCAUUGGGCGUAAAGGGUGCGUAGGUGGCGAGGUAAGUCGGGCGUGAAAUCCCGGGGCUCAACCCCGGAACUGCGUUCGAUACUGCUUUGCUUGAGGACUGGAGAGGAGACUGGAAUUCACGGUGUAGCAGUGAAAUGCGUAGAUAUCGUGAGGAACACCGGUGGCGAAGGCGGGUCUCUAGACAGUUCCUGACACUGAGGCACGAAGGCCAGGGGAGCAAACGGG
rnacentral:rRNA from 3 species